rnacentral:rRNA from 1 species
GACAGAGGGUGCAAACGUUGCUCGGAAUCACUGGGCGUAAAGGGCGUGUAGGCGGGGAUGUAAGUCGGGCGUGAAAGCCCCAGGCUCAACCUGGGAACUGCACUCGAAACUGCGUUUCUUGAGUAUCGGAGAGGAAAGCGGAAUACCUGGUGUAGAGGUGAAAUUCGUAGAUAUCAGGUGGAACACCAGUGGCGAAGGCGGGUCUCUGGGCCGAUACUGACGCUGAGGAGCGAAAGCGUGGGGAGCGAACAGG